rnacentral:rRNA from 1 species
CAGCCGCCGCGGUAAUACAGAGGGUGCGAGCGUUAAUCGGAUUUACUGGGCGUAAAGCGUGCGUAGGUGGUUUGUUAAGUUGGAUGUGAAAGCCCCGGGCUCAACCUGGGAACUGCAUCCAAAACUGGCAAGCUAGAGUACGGUAGAGGGUGGUGCAAUUUCCUGUGUAGCGGUGAAAUGCGUAGAUAUAGGAAGGAACACCAGUGGCGAAGGCGACCACCUGGACUGAUACUGACACUGAGGUGCGAAAGCGUGGGGAGCAAACAGGAUUAGAUACCCGUGUAGUCCCUGUCUCUUAUAC